rnacentral:rRNA from 1 species
UACGGAGGGGGCUAGCGUUGUUCGGAAUUACUGGGCGUAAAGCGCGCGUAGGCGGCUUUGUACGUCAGAGGUGAAAGCCUGGAGCUCAACUCCAGAACUGCCUUUGAAACUACAUCGCUAGAAUCAUGGAGAGGUUAGUGGAAUUCCGAGUGUAGAGGUGAAAUUCGUAGAUAUUCGGAAGAACACCAGUGGCGAAGGCGACUAACUGGACAUGUAUUGACGCUGAGGUGCGAAAGCGUGGGGAGCAAACAGG